rnacentral:lncRNA from 1 species
AUUAAUCGAAGUCGAACCUCUAUAUGACAUCCAUGUAGGUGAUCAGAUCAUUGCUGUUCUUAUCGAGUUCAAUAGGAUCACAUCCUAGAUCUAGAAACCGAAGUCUUUAUCCAAUGGAUGCAGUACUCUACCGGAUCUCCUUAAUGGUACUUUUACAAUAGGUUCCAAAUUUGAUUUAAUCAAAUCUAAUUCUAUAGGUUUACUAGAUUGUGUCGGUUCUUUUACCUGUUAAACUUCAUAAGUUCUACAUUAAAGAUAUCAGUACCUUCACCAAGAUACUCUUUUUCUAAAAGAAAUGCCGAACAACUUUUGUUCUUUAGCAAGGUAGAAGUUAUAUCUCCUAAAUUUUUUGGGGUAACUUACAGAAUAAUAUAUAUAGGAUCAGGAUCUAAGUUAAUCGGUUUGCAAAUGCUUGAUAUAAAACAAAUACUCCCAAACUCCAAGAUAAAAAAAUAUUGGCUUAUGCCUAGUCCAUAUCUCAUAUGGAGUCAUUGCGACUGAUUAAUUCGAAAUCCAGCUCAAAACAUAACAAGAGCCUUAAGAGCAUAACCUUAAAAGGAGAUUAACAGACUUAUAAAUUCCAUUAU